ACGGAGGGUGCAAGCGUUAUCCGGAUUCACUGGGUUUAAAGCGUGCGCAGGCGGUUCGUUGUGUCGGUGGUGAAAGCCCCGGGCUUCACCUGGGAAUGGCCAUGGAAACUGGCGAACUGGAGUGUGGCAGAGGGGGGUGGAAUUCCGCGUGUAGCAGUGAAAUGCGUAGAGAUGCCGAGGAACACCGAUGGCGAAGGCAGCCCCCUGGGCUAGCACUGACGCUCAGGCACGAAAGCGUGGGGAGCAAACAGGA
rnacentral:rRNA from 1 species